CUUUUGGGGUGUUGACGGUACCUGGAGAAGAAGCACCGGCUAACUACGUGCCAGCAGCCGCGGUGAUACGUAGGGUGCGAGCGUUGUCCGGAUUUAUUGGGCGUAAAGGGCUCGUAGGCGGUUGAUCGCGUCGGAAGUGAAAACUUGGGGCUUAACCCUGAGCGUGCUUUCGAUACGGGUUGACUUGAGGAAGGUAGGGGAGAAUGGAAUUCCUGGUGGAGCGGUGGAAUGCGCAGAUAUCAGGAGGAACACCAGUGGCGAAGGCGGUUCUCUGGACCUUUCCUGACGCUGAGGAGCGAAAGCGUGGGGAGCAAACAGGCUUAGAUACCCUGGUAGUCCACGCUGUAAACGGUGGGUACUAGGUGUGGGGUCCAUUCCACGGAUUCCGUGCCGUAGCUAACGCAUUAAGUACCCCGCCUGGGGAGUACGGCCGCAAGGCUAAAACUCAAAGGAAUUGACGGGGCCCCGCACAAGCGGCGGAGCAUGCGGAUUAAUUCGAUGCAACGCGAAGAACCUUACCUGGGUUUGACAUGGAUUGGUAACGGUCAGAGAUGGCCGCCCCCCUUGUGGGCCGGUUCACAGGUGGUGCAUGGCUGUCGUCAGCUCGUGUCGUGAGAUGUUGGGUUAAGUCCCGCAACGAGCGCAACCCUCGUCCACUGUUGCCAGCAUUUGGUUGGGGACUCAGUGGAGACCGCCGGGGUCAACUCGGAGGAAGGUGGGGAUGACGUCAAGUCAUCAUGCCCCUUAUGUCCAGGGCUUCACGCAUGCUACAAUGGCCGGUACAAAGAGUGGCGACAUCGUGAGGUGGAGCGAAUCUCAGAAAGCCGGUCUCAGUUCGGAUUGGGGUCUGCAACUCGACCCCAUGAAGUCGGAGUCGCUAGUAAUCGCAGAUCAGCAACGCUGCGGUGAAUACGUUCCCGGGGCUUGUACACACCGCCCGUCAAGUCAUGAAAGUCGGUAACACCCGAAGCCGGUGGCCCAACACGUUCUGCGUGGGGGAGUCGUCGAAGGUGGGACUGGUAAUUAGGACUAAGUCGUAACAAGGUAGCCGUACCGGAAGG
rnacentral:rRNA from 1 species